ACGAACGUUUUCGGACGUUAGUGGCGGACGGGUGAGUAACGCGUGAGAAUCUGCCUUUUGGACGGGGAUAACAGUUGGAAACGACUGCUAAGACCCGAUGUGCCUAUGGGUGAAAGUAAUUUAGCCAGAAGAUGAGCUCGCGUCAGAUUAGCUAGUUGGAGUGGUAACGGCACACCAAGGCGACGAUCUGUAGCUGGUCUGAGAGGAUGACCAGCCACACUGGGACUGAGACACGGCCCAGACUCCUACGGGAGGCAGCAGUGGGGAAUUUUCCGCAAUGGGCGAAAGCCUGACGGAGCAAGACCGCGUGGGGGAGGAAGGUCUGUGGAUUGUAAACCCCUUUUGUCAAGGAAGAACACAAUGACGGUACUUGACGAAUCAGCAUCGGCUAACUCCGUGCCAGCAGCCGCGGUAAUACGGAGGAUGCAAGCGUUAUCCGGAUUUAUUGGGCGUAAAGCGUCCGUAGGUGGUUGUUCAAGUCUGCUGUCAAAGCGCGAGGCUUAACUUCGUAAAGGCAGUGGAAACUGAGCGACUUGAGAAUGAUAGGGGCAGAGGGAAUUCCCAGUGUAGCGGUGAAAUGCGUAGAGAUUGGGAAGAACACCGGUGGCGAAAGCGCUCUGCUGGGUCAUAUCUGACACUGAGGGACGAAAGCUAGGGGAGCGAAAGGGAUUAGAUACCCCUGUAGUCCUAGCCGUAAACGAUGGAAACUAG
rnacentral:rRNA from 1 species